UACGGGGGGGGCAAGCGUUGUUCGGAAUUACUGGGCGUAAAGGGUUCGUAGGUGGCCAACUAAGUCAGACGUGAAAUCCCUCGGCUCAACCGGGGAACUGCGUCUGAUACUGCUUGGCUCGAGUCCGGGAGAGGUGAGUGGAAUUCCCAGUGUAGAGGUGAAAUUCGUAGAGAUUGGGAAGAACACCAGUGGCGAAGGCGGCUCACUGGCCCGCAACUGACGCUGAGGCGCGAAAGCGUGGGGAGCAAACAGG
rnacentral:rRNA from 1 species